rnacentral:rRNA from 1 species
UAGCGGCGGACGGGUGAGUAACGCGUGGGAACGUGCCCUUCUCUACUGAAUAGUCGCGGGAAACUGGGUGAGUAGCGUAUACGCCCUUUGGGGGAAAGAUUUAUCGGAGAAGGAUCGGCCCGCGUCUGAUUAGGUAGUUGGUGGGGUAACGGNCUACCAAGCCUACGAUCAGUAGCUGGUUUUAGAGGAUGAUCAGCCACACUGGGACUGAGACACGGCCCAGACUCCUACGGGAGGCAGCAGUGGGGAAUCUUGGAGGGUGGGCGCAAGCCUGAUCCAGCCGUGCCGCGUGAGUGAUGAAGGCCCCAGGGUCGUAAAGCUCUUUCACCCGUGAAGAUAAUGACGGUAGCGGGAGAAGAAACCCCGGCUAACUCCGUGCCAGCAGCCGCGGUAAUACGGAGGGGGUUAGCGUUGUUCGGAAUUACUGGGCGUAAAGCGCGCGUAGGCGGACCAUCAAGUUGGGGGUGAAAUCCCGGGGCUCAACCCCGGAACUGCCUCCAAAACUGGUGGUCUUGAGUUCGAGAGAGGUGAGUGGAAUACCGAGUGUAGAGGUGAAAUCCGUAGAUAUUCGGAGGAACACCAGUGGCGAAGGCGGCUCACUGGCUCGAUACUGACGCUGAGGUGCGAAAGCGUGGGG